UCUCAAAAAAUUUUAUAUAUACACUCUUUUCGUCUUAUUUUAUACGAAAGGAGUUGUUACUAUAAGAUUAGCCUUUUGGAACAACGUAUGAAGAAUUUUUUCUUUUAAAGUAUAUCAUAUCUAUAUCUAUAUAAAGCAGGGACAUGAGCCCGCUGACGCGGCGCUCUAAAAACCUAGCAUUCCCAUUUAUCCCUUUUUACAAUUUUUUGCCUUUUUCUGCUCUUUAAAAUUACAGUUUAAAAAAACAAGCUUUUAACGAGAAUUUCAACAGUCGCUUCUUUUCCUUGCGGGGAAAAAAAUGCUCGCUGCAUUUAACACAAAAAACGGUCGCUGCGUUUAACCCUCCUAGCAGAAUAAAUCCAAACGAAAAGUUCCUUUCCAAGCAUGUUGAACAUCAGUUUUCUAAGCCCAGAAAAUAAAGGAGCGAAAUAAACUCAAAAAACAGUAAAAAUAGCACUUCACGCCUUGCUCUCCUUGGUCAGUAUUUCUUCACCAGAAAAUAGAUUGAAUAGCUAGGCCUAAUUAUCUAAUAUAGAUAGCGUGAUGACGAUUCAGGUUAGUUGUUCUCAUAAAUUGUCUAUUGAACUUCCUUUCAUCAAGAAUAUAUACAUGUAUCUGCUAUCAAAAUUUAUUAUCUGACUGAUCGAAAUUUAUGCAUUGAUCACGUCAUGUGCACUGUCCACCAAAAUUGUUUAUUUAAGUCGGACAGAUUCAACAAAGGGUUAAAAUGCUCUUUACCCACAUGUUAUCGAUUUCAUUUGUCAUGAAUACUCCAUUGCUCUUUCUUUUAUACUUCCAGAUUUCAAGUAUACAUUCAUGGUCCUUUAUUUGCUAUCAUGCACAAUGAAGGAGUUUUCAAGAACUUGACUUGAGCAGCAUUCCUUCUGUCAGCAAGAGAAACCAUGUUCCCCUACAUAUCUAUGUGAUUUUCAUUCUUCUUUUUAAUGUAAAGUUACCCCACUGCAGGUAAGUUCUUAAAUGUUUCCCUUCAUUUUUCCUCUUUUUUGUUGAUUUAAAAACUUCCGUAUAGUAAUUAUAUUUUUCGAUCAAUGUCUGCUGAAGAAAAUUCAAAAUGUGUUCUUAUGACCCUUUAUAAAUUCGUUUCAUUUGUUGCUAUGUAUAGCAACUGAUCUAAAGUUUGCAUUAUCAAACGCUUGGCGCUUUUAAAAAAGCAUGUAGUCUACUCCAUAAUGAUUCCGUAAAAUCUGAUGCAAAGCUUCCUAUACUUGAAGAUUUCUCUAUUUGCUGUCCAAUAUUGUUUAGGCAGCCUAAAAUGUUACACGUAAUUGCAAUGUUGGUGAGGUCUAAGAAAUGUACUACCAUUUUCUUUAGUCCUAUCUGAAUGUGAACUUGAUUACUUUAUUGGAGUUGAUAAAAUUAGGAGUGUUCAUAAAGAAAUUCGGUCUAUAUACCACAUUCAAAUUGUUGACGUUACUAUUAUUAGAACAUUUUUACUACUUAUUCUUUAUUUUGUUACUGCUUAUUCUUUAUUGUUACUAGAUUAUUCUUUAUUGUUACUAGAUUAUUUACUGCAUAGGCUUUUAUUUUAGUUUUCACUAUUUUAGGAGUCCAUCAUAAUCUUUUCCUUGAUUUCUGGUGUAGUUCCACCGUAGGGGAGACUUUGUUAGUUUGCAUUGUGUAUAUAUUUCGAUUCUUCAUCAAUUAAUAAAAGUAUCUUUUUGCUUCAUCUUUCUCAGUUAUUAUAACUAUUACUGAUUUAUAAAGUUUUUUGUUGCAGGUGUUGUAGAAAAUCAGUAGUAAUUCAACCGUGGAAUGUGGAAAUAGAGAAUUUCAGAAGGUGUCUUGAUAUCCUUGUGUGUAUAUAAAAGAUUGAUUGUCAAUGCUUUUAAUUACUAUAAUGUUGUGGGUGACUAAGAAACGGGAACUUUUUGUCUAUCAGAAUCAAUCAUGUAGAGACGCUCCAAAGCAAGACGAAUCUGUGUCUACCUACAACUUCAAAGCUCUCCCACUUAAUAAAAAGCUAUCUCUUACAUCUGAGCCCCAACCAGCUACUGCCAAAGUGCAGUUGAAAGCACAAGUCUAUCCCGCCUUCCGUCAAAGGUUCCAGUUUUUUGUUCUGAUCUUAUUUAGUUAAACAUAGUCUUGAUUUUUUAUUUCGUACAUCUUUUUGGUACAAGGGCUCUAAAGAAAAUGGAUGGACUUAUUUCCAUCAAAAUCGUGACGAAAGCAAUAAUUAUAUAGUGGUUCCUAGCUUCUUCCAUCUCCAUUCAUGUUUCUAAUAGGCUUUUCAAGCAGCAAUAUUUUCAGCAUUAUAAUGGGUAUAAACUUUAAUCCUGUAAAAUUCUUCUUUUAAGAUAGUACACAUGGAGAAGAGAAACUAGCUGAUCUCAAAAGCAAAGGCAAUUCAAUUCGGUGGCGAUGUGGGAUAACUGUAGUUUGCCAGGUCUCUAACACCAUCAAUAAUCGACACAUCUCUGAAGCUCAGUGAUGCAUGCAUGGUUCCAAAUUUGCUGGAUAAUGGAUUACCCUUCUCCACUUACGUUUUUGUUUGCCAAGGAGUUUGGGCAUUUUUGGGGACAAAAACAGCACAUUUCUUGAUGUAAAUGAAGACUUUUUUGCUAUAUUCAAAAGGCAGACUCAGGCGAUGUAGCAAUACCAGUACAUAACAAUGUCUGAACUUAUCAAGUGUAUUCAAAUAUUUAGCAACUUUAUAACUUAUAUUUUAGAAUCAAUUUCUUCACAUGUAAACCACCAGAUACAAACAAUGUUAAUCACCAUGUCAUCAUGUGAAUAAAAUGAGGAAGUGUUGUUUA